rnacentral:rRNA from 2 species
UUUUAUAUGAGAGUUUGAUCCUGGCUCAGGAUGAACGCCGGCGGUGUGCCUAAUACAUGCAAGUCGUACGCACUGGCCCAACUGAUUGAUGGUGCUUGCACCUGAUUGACGAUGGAUCACCAGUGAGUGGCGGACGGGUGAGUAACACGUAGGUAACCUGCCCCGGAGCGGGGGAUAACAUUUGGAAACAGAUGCUAAUACCGCAUAACAACAAAAGCCGCAUGGCUUUUGUUUGAAAGAUGGCUUUGGCUAUCACUCUGGGAUGGACCUGCGGUGCAUUAGCUAGUUGGUAAGGUAACGGCUUACCAAGGCGAUGAUGCAUAGCCGAGUUGAGAGACUGAUCGGCCACAAUGGAACUGAGACACGGUCCAUACUCCUACGGGAGGCAGCAGUAGGGAAUCUUCCACAAUGGGCGCAAGCCUGAUGGAGCAACACCGCGUGAGUGAAGAAGGGUUUCGGCUCGUAAAGCUCUGUUGUUGGAGAAGAACGUGCGUGAGAGUAACUGUUCACGCAGUGACGGUAUCCAACCAGAAAGUCACGGCUAACUACGUGCCAGCAGCCGCGGUAAUACGUAGGUGGCAAGCGUUAUCCGGAUUUAUUGGGCGUAAAGCGAGCGCAGGCGGUUGCUUAGGUCUGAUGUGAAAGCCUUCGGCUUAACCGAAGAAGUGCAUCGGAAACCGGGCGACUUGAGUGCAGAAGAGGACAGUGGAACUCCAUGUGUAGCGGUGGAAUGCGUAGAUAUAUGGAAGAACACCAGUGGCGAAGGCGGCUGUCUGGUCUGCAACU